CCUACGGGAGGCAGCAGUAGGGAAUCUUCCACAAUGGACGAAAGUCUGAUGGAGCAACGCCGCGUGAGUGAAGAAGGGUUUCGGCUCGUAAAACUCUGUUGUUGAAGAAGAACACAUCUGAGAGUAACUGUUCUGGUGUUGACGGUAUUUAACCAGAAAGCCACGGCUAACUACGUGCCAGCAGCCGCGGUAAUACGUAGGUGGCAAGCGUUGUCCGGAUUCAUUGGGCGUAAAGCGAGCGCAGGCGGUUUCUUAAGUCUGAUGUGAAAGCCUUCGGCUUAACCGGAGAAGUGCAUCGGAAACUGGGAGACUUGAGUGCAGAAGAGGACAGUGGAACUCCAUGUGUAGCGGUGAAAUGCGUAGAUAUAUGGAAGAACACCAGUGGCGAAGGCGGCUGUCUGGUCUGUAACUGACGCUGAGGCUCGAAAGCAUGGGUAGCAAACAGGAUUAGAUACCCUGGUAGUCCAUGCCGUAAACGAUGAGUGCUAGGUGUUGGAGGGUUUCCGCCCUUCAGUGCCGCAGCUAACGCAUUAAGCACUCCGCCUGGGGAGUACGACCGCAAGGUUGAAACUCAAAGGAAUUGACGG
rnacentral:rRNA from 1 species